CCCUUAGAUGUUCUGGGCCGCACGCGCGCUACACUGGCGGAUUCAACGAGCUUACAACCUUGGCCGAAAGGUCUGGGUAAUCUCCAAAAUCCGUCGUGAUGGGGAUAGAUUAUUGCAAUUAUUAAUCUUCAACGAGGAAUGCCUAGUAAGCGCAAGUCAUCAGCUUGCGUUGAUUACGUCCCUGCCCUUUGUACACACCGCCCGUCGCUCCUACCGAUUGAAUGGUCCGGUGAAGCGUUUGGACUAUGGUUUUCUGAUGGUCCGCCGUUGGAUUACCGUGGGAAGUUCGUUAAACCUUAUCAUUUAGAGGAAGGAGAAGUCGUAACA
rnacentral:rRNA from 1 species